rnacentral:rRNA from 1 species
CACGUAGGGUGCGAGCGUUGUCCGGAAUUAUUGGGCGUAAAGAGCUCGUAGGCGGUGUGUCGCGUCGGCCGUGAAAACCUGCAGCUUAACUGUGGGCUUGCGGUCGAUACGGGCAUCACUGGAGUUCGGCAGGGGAGACUGGAAUUCCUGGUGUAACGUGGAAAUGCGCAGGAUAAUCAGAGGACACCGGUAGGCGAAGGCGGGGUCUCCUUGGGGCCG